UUAAGCCGGACCUGUGCCUCGCGCACUUGCUGAUGGCCGUCCACGCGUGGAUGAUUUUCCUUCCACCAAUGAAAUAGCUGAGUUGCUACACUACGAAGAGAUUGCUGUGAACUGUAGUUAUAUUUUCAGUAUAUAGAUCUAGGUGCAUGCACGUUUAUUUACACAGAAAUACUAGAUCACUAAACAAUCAGUUAUGUAGUUUAUUGUUCAUUUUAUCGGCAUAAAAGGGAUAACAAGUAGAGCUGUUAUAUCAUUUUAAAUUGGAUAGCGAUACACGAACACGCACCUGCCAGCGAGGACGACGGUUAUGUAGUGAUUCGAUGACGGGACAUUGAUGACACCUUAGUUACCUGUCAGUGUUAUAACGGUUUGGAUAUAUUAUAGUACGUGUGACAUAUUGAAAACAAUUUGAAGUAUAUUACUCGCUGUGGUUUAUUUGUGAAAAACUUGAGAUUGUUACCAACAGUAUCUGAUUCUAGAGAGGUAUAAACUGAACAUACAGGUGAAAUAGACCCAGAGACUUAUUAGUACAGCUGAAUUAGGUUCGAUUUGCAGAGUUCAUACUUCGUCAACUUAUAAAUUAUAAACUUGUAAAGUCGUGAGUUAAAUAAUACUGAGCUUAUAAAGUCUAAGCUUAUAAAGUCGUGAGCUAAAUGCUGUUGAAGUUUAGGUUUAUAACAUCGUCAACUUAUAUAAAGUCUUUAGGUCGGGCUGUUAAUGGAUAUAUCUGUUCAUCAGUAGUACAUCGAUGUAAAAACUGUCAAGAUACUAUAUAAUAUAUAUUGUACCAUAGUGAAGUUGAAAGUCAGUUACGGUCUGUGAACAUAAUAGACUGUUGUAUUAUAUUUGGAGGUUAUUGUAUGUGUACCGUUAUUAUUGUGUGUUAAGGUUUGAGUUUGUGCACCUGUAGUCCGUGUAACGGUAAACUUUCUAUAAAGGACAACUACGACACCCGACUGUUGUCAAUGAUUGGCAGCAACCCGUUCACGCCGCUACGUUGUAUUGUGGUGUGCAUUUAAGACCCAAUAAAAGACAAUAAUCGUAGCAGGUAACAAAAACUAUAAAUUUAAAUACAUUUACUACAAAAGGUAUAUUUAAGACGGACAUCACUUUCUAUUGUAUUUGGUAACGUUGACUGUAUAGUGGUAUCAACAUGUUUGGGAGUAUAUCAGAAGUAUUGCUGAUUCUAGUAACAGUAUGUCUUGUACGUAUUCCCGCCGAACAGGACUGUAACGGAUGCGACUGUUUUGUCAGGGACAAUGUCUAUGACGAGCGAGCCAACACCAACGUGAAACCAAGUUGCCAGGAAGGCAAGGUGACGUGGAUGAACCCGACUAAUGCUAUACGCCUAGAUCUAAAACCGUCUAUACCAGGAGAAUUUAAAGCCUGUAUUCUUGUCAACAGUGAAAGUGUGACGACUUUAGUUUCCAGGGAAUUGUCUACAGACACCGUUUCAAAUUACAGAAGACAAACUUUAGAAAACAAAAUGUCGCUACAACCAUGGUUUAUCGCUGUCGGCCAAGGCAAAGAAUACUGUGUGACGUCUUCGGAAAAUUCCGUCUUGCUGUACAUGGAGAUAGAAGCUACUACAAUGAAUUCUGGAUUAUCCAGGGUUACUAUCUAUUAUGAUUUAGAAAUUUUAACGAGCUUGGCGCAACCCGGUCCCAUGGAAGAUUGUCGACCAUGUGAUGAUGAAGAGCUGUUAAAGUCGUUUUGUAGUAGCGAGUUUGUUGUUAUCGGUAGUAUGAUGAAGGUUACUGACCAAUCCGAAUUAGGCAAAACACGGAUAACAAUAGAUGUAGACGAGGUUA